rnacentral:ncRNA from 1 species
AUCUUCAGGGUAUGGUGAAAGUCCUAACCGGUGGUAUAGUCCACGAGCCUAUUUAGGUAUGAAUUGGUGAAAUUCCAAUACCGACAGUACAGUCUGGAUGAAAGAAGAUG